rnacentral:rRNA from 1 species
UACAGAGGGUGCGAGCGUUAAUCGGAAUUACUGGGCGUAAAGCGUGCGUAGACGGCUAUCUAAGUCGGGUGUGAAAGCCCCGGGCUCAACCUGGGAAUUGCAUUCGAGACUGAAUAGCUAGGGUACGGUAGAGGGAAGUGGAAUUUCCGGUGUAGCGGUGAAAUGCGUAGAUAUCGGAAGGAACAUCAGUGGCGAAAGCGACUUCCUGGACCAGUACCGACGUUCUGGCACGAAAGCGUGGGGAGCAAACAGG